rnacentral:rRNA from 1 species
GGGUUGUGAGGUUAAGCGACUAAGCGUACACGGUGGAUGCCCUGGCAGUCAGAGGCGAUGAAGGGCGUGCUAAUCUGCGAUAAGCGCCGGUAAGGUGAUAUAAACCGUUAUAACCGGCGAUACCCGAAUGGGGAAACCCAGUGUGAUUCGUCACACUAUCAUUAACUGAAUCCAUAGGUUAAUGAGGCGAACCGGGGGAACUGAAACAUCUAAGUACCCCGAGGAAAAGAAAUCAACCGAGAUUCCCCCAGUAGCGGCGAGCGAACGGGGAGGAGCCCAGAGCCUGAAUCAGCAUGUGUGUUAGUGGAAGCGUCUGGAAAGGCGCGCGAUACAGGGUGACAGCCCCGUACACAAAAGCGCAUAUGCUGUGAGCUCGAUGAGUAGGGCGGGACACGUGGUAUCCUGUCUGAAUAUGGGGGGACCAUCCUCCAAGGCUAAAUACUCCUGACUGACCGAUAGUGAACCAGUACCGUGAGGGAAAGGCGAAAAGAACCCCGGCGAGGGGAGUGAAAAAGAACCUGAAACCGUGUACGUACAAGCAGUGGGAGCCCCACCACCAAAGCAUUCUCUGGUGUUGAAGGCCCUGCAAAGCAGCAUCGCGGUGGCGGAGCGUCGUUUGCGACGCCCAACACACAAAACAAGCGGUGAAUGCUUUGGGGUGGGGUGACUGCGUACCUUUUGUAUAAUGGGUCAGCGACUUAUAUUCUGUAGCAAGGUUAACCGAAUAGGGGAGCCGGAGGGAAACCGAGUCUUAACCGGGCGUUAAGUUGCAGGGUAUAGACCCGAAACCCGGUGAUCUAGCCAUGGGCAGGUUGAAGGUUGGGUAACACUAACUGGAGGACCGAACCGACUAAUGUUGAAAAAUUAGCGGAUGACCUGUGGCUGGGGGUGAAAGGCCAAUCAAACCGGGAGAUAGCUGGUUCUCCCCGAAAGCUAUUUAGGUAGCGCCUCGUGAAUUCAUCUCCGGGGGUAGAGCACUGUUUCGGCUAGGGGGCCAUCCCGGCUUACCAACCCGAUGCAAACUGCGAAUACCGGAGAAUGUUAUCACGGGAGACACACGGCGGGUGCUAACGUCCGUCGUGAAGAGGGAAACAACCCAGACCGCCAGCUAAGGUCCCAAAGUCAUGGUUAAGUGGGAAACGAUGUGGGAAGGCCCAGACAGCCAGGAUGUUGGCUUAGAAGCAGCCAUCAUUUAAAGAAAGCGUAAUAGCUCACUGGUCGAGUCGGCCUGCGCGGAAGAUGUAACGGGGCUAAACCAUGCACCGAAGCUGCGGCAGCGACGCUUAUGCGUUGUUGGGUAGGGGAGCGUUCUGUAAGCCUGUGAAGGUGGCCUGUGAGGGUUGCUGGAGGUAUCAGAAGUGCGAAUGCUGACAUAAGUAACGAUAAAGCGGGUGAAAAGCCCGCUCGCCGGAAGACCAAGGGUUCCUGUCCAACGUUAAUCGGGGCAGGGUGAGUCGACCCCUAAGGCGAGGCCGAAAGGCGUAGUCGAUGGGAAACGGGUUAAUAUUCCCGUACUUGGUGUUACUGCGAAGGGGGGACGGAGAAGGCUAUGUUGGCCGGGCGACGGUUGUCCCGGUUUAAGCGUGUAGGCUGGUUUUCCAGGCAAAUCCGGAAAAUCAAGGCUGAGGCGUGAUGACGAGGCACUACGGUGCUGAAGCAACAAAUGCCCUGCUUCCAGGAAAAGCCUCUAAGCAUCAGGUAACAUCAAAUCGUACCCCAAACCGACACAGGUGGUCAGGUAGAGAAUACCAAGGCGCUUGAGAGAACUCGGGUGAAGGAACUAGGCAAAAUGGUGCCGUAACUUCGGGAGAAGGCACGCUGACACGUAGGUGAAGUGAUUUACUCA